rnacentral:ncRNA from 1 species
CCUUUGCUAGUUUUGAAGGCAGCCCCGACGAGACGCGCCGUACCGGGUGAAGGCAAAGACGACGCACC